UACGGGGGGGGGCAAGCGUUGUUCGGAAUUACUGGGCGUAAAGGGCGCGUAGGCGGCUCGCUAAGUCGGAUGUGAAAACUCUGGGCUCAACCCAGAGCCUGCAUUCGAAACUGGGGAGCUCGAGUUCUGGAGGGGAAAGCGGAAUUCCUGGUGUAGCGGUGAAAUGCGUAGAUAUCAGGAGGAACACUGGUGGCGAAGGCGGCUUUCUGGACAGAAACUGACGCUGAUGCGCGAAAGCUAGGGGAGCAAACAGG
rnacentral:rRNA from 1 species